UACGACGGGGGCUAGCGUUGCUCGGAAUCACUGGGCGUAAAGGGUGCGUAGGCGGGUCUUUAAGUCAGGGGUGAAAUCCUGGAGCUCAACUCCAGAACUGCCUUUGAUACUGAGGAUCUUGAGUUCGGGAGAGGUGAGUGGAACUGCGAGUGUAGAGGUGAAAUUCGUAGAUAUUCGCAAGAACACCAGUGGCGAAGGCGGCUCACUGGCCCGAUACUGACGCUGAGGCACGAAAGCGUGGGGAGCGAACAGG
rnacentral:rRNA from 1 species